GAUGAACGCUGGCGGCGUGCCUAAUACAUGCAAGUCGAGCGAAUGGAUUAAGAGCUUGCUCUUAUGAAGUUAGCGGCGGACGGGUGAGUAACACGUGGGUAACCUGCCCAUAAGACUGGGAUAACUCCGGGAAGCCGGGGCUAAUACCGGAUAACAUUUUGAACCGCAUGGUUCGAAAUUGAAAGGCGGCUUCGGCUGUCACUUAUGGAUGGACCCGCGUCGCAUUAGCUAGUUGGUGAGGUAACGGCUCACCACGGCAACGAUGCGUAGCCGACCUGAGAGGGUGAUCGGCAACACUGGGACUGAGACACGGCCCAGACUCCUACGGGAGGCAGCAGUAGGGAAUCUUCCGCAAUGGACGAAAGUCUGACGGAGCAACGCCGCGUGAGUGAUGAAGGCUUUCGGGUCGUAAAACUCUGUUGUUAGGGAAGAACAAGUGCUAGUUGAAUAAGCUGGCACCUUGACGGUACCUAACCAGAAAGCCACGGCUAACUACGUGCCAGCCGCCGCGGUAA
rnacentral:rRNA from 1 species